UACGUAGGGUGCGAGCGUUAAUCGGAAUUACUGGGCGUAAAGCGUGCGCAGGCUGUUUUGUAAGUCAGAUGUGAAAUCCCUGGGCUCAACCUAGGAACUGCGUUUGAAACUACAAGGCUAGAGUGUAGCAGAGGGGGGUAGAAUUCCACGUGUAGCAGUGAAAUGCGUAGAGAUGUGGAGGAAUACCAAUGGCGAAGGCAGCCCCCUGGGUUAACACUGACGCUCAUGCACGAAAGUGUGGGGAGCAAACAGGAUUAGAAACCCCGGUAGUCC
rnacentral:rRNA from 1 species